GUUUCCUACCCGGGCGCAACCUAAUCGAUCAACCACUCCAUUACCGAGUGGUUCCGCUGCUAGGUAUCGACCAGACUCUCCUACUAGUCGGAGUGACCCUGACUCUGUGCCGGGUCUGAGGAUGCCCUCCGUCGUCACCCCUUAUAACCUGUUACCCCCUUUGGGACUAGGUCGGUACGGCGCACUUACUACUUCCGGAAGCCCAACAUUUCAAGAAAACGUCCCCUGCUACUACUGCCAUGGGACUCUUAUUCGAGGCCGAUUGAAGCACGGUCGUCGGCGCCAUUAUGCUUCCCUCGAUCGCAACAAGCCUUAAUGACCCGCAUUUCCCGCGCAUCCGCCAAACUGUUCAACCUACACUUUCGGGUCCCGAGUUGGGACCUUAACGUAAGUUCUGACAGAAUGAACUUAAGCCAUCUCCACUCACCUUAAGGGUCACAUCUCCACUUUAAGCAUCUCUAACCCUUCUUGUGGCCACCGCUUCCGCCGAGUGACCUGGCUGUAACUGCGACUCCGCGCUUUCGCACCCCUCGUUUGUCCUAAUCUAUGGGACCAUCAGGUGCGGCAUUUGCUACGUACGAUCUGCAACCUUUGAAGCCAAAGAACACAGCGUCGAUUGCGUGAUUCGUACGGCG
rnacentral:rRNA from 1 species